CCAUCAUUCAGUUGGGCACUCUAGCGAGACUGCCGGUAAUAAACCGGAGGAAGGUGGGGAUGGACGUCAAAUCAUCAUGCCCCUUAUGACCUGGGCUACACACGUGCUACAAUGGUUGGUACAACGAGUUGCGAGUCGGUGACGGCGAGCUAAUCUCUUAAAGCCAAUCUCAGUUCGGAUUGUAGGCUGCAACUCGCCUACAUGAAGUCGGAAUCGCUAGUAAUCGCGGAUCAGCACGCCGCGGUGAAUACGUUCCCGGGCCUU
rnacentral:rRNA from 1 species